CUGGACUCGGCGAAAAGCAUGCCGGAAAAGAACGCUCCAACUUGACAGAGGCGAGCCGAGGGUUCAUGUUAGUUACAGCUACAGCAGAAGUUGCAAAGUGGCCAGUCGCCUUAAACUCUUCGAAGGACGGUGGGGUGUGUAACGACGGUUGCUUAACGAUGACACCUGCUACCGUGCAAGAGAAAGUCGCUCAACGACAGGCACAAAAAAUGCUACGGGCAGGUAUGCAACUGCUGAACUGCCUGAAGACUGACAUCUCGCCCAGAAAACAGUGCUGGGAGGAUCCAGAUGAUGAUGGUAAUGCAGCCUCAAAGAGAUGCGAUCAAUCGGUAGAACGCAGUAAGCGCGCCUUGUCGAAAUCAGACGAAAGGGGUUCGGAAGCAUCGAAGAGAAGACACACCGCAAUAUUGCCGAUCAAGCGUUGCUGGUACGAUCCAGAAGAAGAGCGGAGCGUGUCAAAGAGAAGUAAGAGGUACCUGGUCACCGCGUCUCCAUUUCCAGUCAGACUGGAGGAGCUGGUUUGCGACGUUCAUCAGACCGUGCACAGGGAGCCGUGGGAGACCUUCUUCCACUUGUCAUCCCGACCAGAUGGGUCGUCAGAACAGCCGUGUCCCGUCUGCCGAAGGGAGUGCAUGUCUACGGAGCUGCUAGAUCAUGCGCGUCGGUCGCACAGCGUUGUGGCACCGCCCGGCGUGACUGACGGGAUGUCAUGGAGCCGUUCGUCGUCUAGUGAAGACUCACACCGCCGGUCCGCAACCGACGCCGAGGGCCGCCGGAGGUCACCCGGGAGGAGGUUAAGACACAGCACGUCAACCUUAAGAUAUCGUCGGCGCUGGUCGUCUGAAGAAAGAUCGCGUCGUCGCUCUACAUCAGGGGACCGUCAUCGCAGCACAGCGAGCAGGAUCAGCCGUCG